AUGGCAACAAAUGGUCACAAGGUCUGUAACCUGAGGGUGGUUGGACGGGUCUUGCUGGCUCCCCCCAGUGCUUUCUGUUUCCUGACUUCACUCCUAGAGCUUCCCAACUCCCACAGGAAUCCAAGCUCUCAGUGCCCAGCGUUGUGGGGGCACAGCCUGCAAACUGCAGAACUCCUGCUGAGAAAAACAUCACCUGGAACUGUUUGUCCACUGCACGGCAAUUUUCAUAAGCAGACUUUGUGCCGAAGUACAGCGAAGAGCUGCAGACAUGAACCUCCUAAUGCAAGAUGUUGGAGAAACGUUAUGGAAAAUGCAGCUUUGGUGCCAUGCCUAGAUAACAGCAAGGGUGUUAACAGGCACACAAUGCAUGGGGUGACAUUCAUCCUCUGGAAGAUCUCAGCCUUCAGCCUUUUGCUUCCUCAGUAUGUGUGGACCAAUUGCCCAGAGUGA
rnacentral:lncRNA from 1 species